rnacentral:rRNA from 1 species
GACGAACGCUGGCGGCGUGCCUAAUACAUGCAAGUAGAACGCUGAAGAGGGGAGCUUGCUCUUCUUGGAUGAGUUGCGAACGGGCGAGUAACGCGUAGGUAACCUGCCUUGUAGCGGGGGAUAACUAUUGGAAACGAUAGCUAAUACCGCAUAACAAUGGAUGACACAUGUCAUUUAUUUGAAAGGGGCAAUUGCUCCACUACAAGAUGGACCUGCGUUGUAUUAGCUAGUAGGUGAGGUAACGGCUCACCUAGGCGACGAUACAUAGCCGACCUGAGAGGGUGAUCGGCCACACUGGGACUGAGACACGGCCCAGACUCCUACGGGAGGCAGCAGUAGGGAAUCUUCGGCAAUGGGGGCAACCCUGACCGAGCAACGCCGCGUGAGUGAAGAAGGUUUUCGGAUCGUAAAGCUCUGUUGUAAGUCAAGAACGAGUGUGAGAGUGGAAAGUUCACACUGUGACGGUAGCUUACCAGAAAGGGACGGCUAACUACGUGCCAGCAGCCGCGGUAAUACGUAGGUCCCGAGCGUUGUCCGGAUUUAUUGGGCGUAAAGCGAGCGCAGGCGGUUUGAUAAGUCUGAAGUUAAAGGCUGUGGCUCAACCAUAGUUCGCUUUGGAAACUGUCAAACUUGAGUGCAGAAGGGGAGAGUGGAAUUCCAUGUGUAGCGGUGAAAUGCGUAGAUAUAUGGAGGAACACCGGUGGCGAAAGCGGCUCUCUGGUCUGUAACUGACGCUGAGGCUCGAAAGCGUGGGGAGCGAACAGGAUUAGAUACCCUGGUAGUCCACGCCGUAAACGAUGAGUGCUAGGUGUUGGAUCCUUUCCGGGAUUCAGUGCCGCAGCUAACGCAUUAAGCACUCCGCCUGGGGAGUACGACCGCAAGGUUGAAACUCAAAGGAAUUGACGGGGGCCCGCACAAACGGUGGAGCAUGUGGUUUAAUUCGAAGCAACGCGAAGAACCUUACCAGGUCUUGACAUCCCGAUGCUAUUUCUAGAGAUAGAAAGUUACUUCGGUACAUCGGUGACAGGUGGUGCAUGGUUGUCGUCAGCUCGUGUCGUGAGAUGUUGGGUUAAGUCCCGCAACGAGCGCAACCCCUAUUGUUAGUUGCCAUCAUUCAGUUGGGCACUCUAGCGAGACUGCCGGUAAUAAACCGGAGGAAGGUGGGGAUGACGUCAAAUCAUCAUGCCCCUUAUGACCUGGGCUACACACGUGCUACAAUGGUUGGUACAACGAGUUGCGAGUCGGUGACGGCAAGCUAAUCUCUUAAAGCCAAUCUCAGUUCGGAUUGUAGGCUGCAACUCGCCUACACGAAGUCGGAAUCGCUAGUAAUCGCGGAUCAGCACGCCGCGGUGAAUACGUUCCCGGGCCU